UACGUAGGGUGCGAGCGUUAAUCGGAAUUACUGGGCGUAAAGCGUGCGCAGGCGGUUUUGUAAGCCAGAUGUGAAAGCCCGGGGCUCAACUCCGGAAUUGCCUUUAAGACUGCAUCGCUAGAAUUGUGGAGAGGUAAGUGGAAUUCCGAGUGUAGAGGUGAAAUUCGUAGAUAUUCGGAAGAACACCAGUGGCGAAGGCGACUUACUGGACACAUAUUGACGCUGAGGUGCGAAAGCGUGGGGAGCAAACAGG
rnacentral:rRNA from 1 species